CCUACGGGCGGCAGCAGUGAGGAAUAUUGGUCAAUGGACGAGAGUCUGAACCAGCCAAGUAGCGUGAAGGAUGACUGCCCUAUGGGUUGUAAACUUCUUUUAUAUGGGAAUAAAAUGUUCCACGUGUGGGAUUUUGUAUGUACCAUAUGAAUAAGGAUCAGCUAACUCCGUGCCAGCAGCCGCGGUAAUACGGAGGAUCCGAGCGUUAUCCGGAUUUAUUGGGUUUAAAGGGAGCGUAGGUGGAUUGUUAAGUCAGUUGUGAAAGUUUGCGGCUCAACCGUAAAAUUGCAGUUGAAACUGGCAGUCUUGAGUACAGUAGAGGUGGGCGGAAUUCGUGGUGUAGCGGUGAAAUGCUUAGAUAUCACGAAGAACUCCGAUUGCGAAGGCAGUUCACUGGACUGCAACUGACACUGAGGCUCGAAAGUGUGGGUAUCAAACAGGAUUAGAUACCCUUGUAGUC
rnacentral:rRNA from 1 species